CCUACGGGAGGCAGCAGUGGGGGAUAUUGCACAAUGGGGGGAACCCUGAUGCAGCGACGCCGCGUGGGUGAAGAAGCGCCUCGGCGCGUAAAGCCCUGUCAGCCGGGAAGAAAAUGCCGGUACCUGAAGAAGAAGCCCCGGCUAACUACGUGCCAGCAGCCGCGGUCAAACGGAGGGGGCAAGCGUUAUCCGGAUUUACUGGGGGUAAAGGGAGCGUAGACGGUUAUGUAAGUCUGGAGUGAAAGCCCGGGGCCCAACCCCGGGACUGCGUUGGAAACUGUGUAACUGGAGUACAGGAGGGGCAGGCGGAAUUCCUGGUGUAGCGGUGAAAUGCGUAGAUAUCAGGAGGAACACCGGCGGCGAAGGCGGCCUGCUGGACUGAAACUGACGUUGAGGCUCGAAAGCGUGGGGAGCAAACAGGAUUAGAUACCCGGGUAGUC
rnacentral:rRNA from 1 species